rnacentral:rRNA from 1 species
AUUGAACGCUGGCGGCAGGCCUAACACAUGCAAGUCGAACGAGUGGCGGACGGGUGAGUAAUGUCUGGGAAUCUGCCUGAUGGCGGGGGAUAACUACUGGAAACGGUAGCUAAUACCGCAUACCAUCGGAUGUACCCAUAUGGGAUUAGCUUGUAGGUGGGGUAACGGCUCACCUAGGCGACGAUCCCUAGCUGGCCUGAGAGGAUGACCAGCAAAACUGGAACUGAGACACGGACCAGACACCUACGGGAGGCAGCAGUGGGGAAUAUUGCACAAUGGGCGCAAGCCUGAUGCAGCCAUGACGCGUGUAUGAAGAAGGCCUUCGGGUUGUAAAGUACUUUCAGUCGGGAGGCGUUACCGACAGAAGAAGCAUCGGCUAACUCCGUGCCAGCAGCCGCGGUAAUAC